GUGCUCGCUUCGGCAGCACGUGUACUAACGCUGGAAUGACACCGGGAAGACUAGUGUGGCCCCUGUGCAAGAAUGACACGCAGAUUUGUCAAGUGUUCCAUUAAAAA